rnacentral:piRNA from 1 species
UGCCGCUUUUGCAAGGUUGAA